CAGAAAGUAGUUUAUUUAAAAAUUUUAAUUUUGGAGAUUAAGGAAAAGAUAUAAUUUCUUUUUUCUGA
rnacentral:tRNA from 1 species